rnacentral:rRNA from 1 species
UACGAAGGGGGAGCUAGCGUUGCUCGGAAUCACUGGGCGUAAAGGGUGCGUAGGCGGGUCUUUAAGUCAGGGGUGAAAUCCUGGAGCUCAACUCCAGAACUGCCUUUGAUACUGAAGAUCUUGAGUUCGGGAGAGGUGAGUGGAACUGCGAGUGUAGAGGUGAAAUUCGUAGAUAUUCGCAAGAACACCAGUGGCGAAGGCGGCUCACUGGCCCGAUACUGACGCUGAGGCAGAA